rnacentral:rRNA from 1 species
ACUCAAAGGAAUUGACGGGGGCCCGCACAAGCGGCGGAGCAUGUUGCUUAAUUCGAUGCAACGCGAAAAACCUUACCUGGGUUGAACUACGCAGGAAAAGCUGCAGAGAUGCAGUGUCCGCAAGGGCCUGCGAUAGGUGGUGCAUGGCUGUUGUCAGCUCGUGUCGUGAGAUGUUGGGUUAAGUCCCGCAACGAGCGCAACCCCUGUCCUAUGUUGCCAGCGGAUCAUGCCGGGGACUCGUAGGAGACUGCCGGGGUAACUCGGAGGAAGGUGGGGAUGACUUCAAGUCAGCAUGCCCCUUAUGUCCAGGGCUGCAAACAUGCUACAAUGGCCGGUACAAAGGGCUGCUAUCCCGCGAGGGUGAGCGAAUCCCAAAAAGCCGGUCUAAGUUCGGAUCGGAGUCUGCAACUCGACUCCGUGAAGUCGGAGUCGCUAGUAAUCCCGGAUCAGCAUUGCCGGGGUGAAUACGUUCCCGGGCCUUGUACACACCGCCCGU